rnacentral:ribozyme from 15 species
UCCAGAAAUUUCCCCGGGAAGUUCGGGGAAAGUUCGGGGAAAGUUCGGAAGUUCAGAAAGUUCAGAAGUUGUCCUUGAGGGCCUUGACCGGGUA